UAACACGUAGGGGGCGAGCGUUGUCCGGAUUUAUUGGGCGUAAAGAGCUCGUAGGCGGCUCAGUAAGUCAGGUGUGAAACCUCCAGGCUCAACCUGGAGACGCCACCUGAUACUGCUGUGGCUUGAAUCUGGUAGGGGAGUGUGGAAUUCCCGGUGUAGCGGUGAAAUGCGCAGAUAUCGGGAGGAACACCAGUGGCGAAGGCGGCACUCUGGGCCAGUAUUGACGCUGAGGAGCGAAAGCGUGGGGAGCGAACAGGAUUAGAUACCCUGGUAGUCCACGCCGUAAACGUUGGGCACUAGGUGUGGGUCCUUACCAACGGGAUCUGUGCCGUAGCUAACGCAUUAAGUGCCCCGCCUGGGGAGUACGGCCGCAAGGCUA
rnacentral:rRNA from 1 species